rnacentral:tRNA from 2 species
GGGGGGUUAGCUCAGUUGGGAGAGCACGACGUUCGCAACGUCGGGGUCGGGGGUUCAAAUCCCCUACCCUCCACCA